UGGGGAAUAUUGGGCAAUGGGCGCAAGCCUGACCCAGCAACGCCGCGUGAGGGAAGAAGGCCUUCGGGUUGUAAACCUCUGGCCUUGGGGACGAAAAAAAUGACGGUACCCGAGGAGGAAGCUCCGGCUAACUACGUGCCAGCAGCCGCGGUAAUACGUAGGGAGCGAGCGUUGUCCGGAAUUACUGGGCGUAAAGGGUGCGUAGGCGGUAGGCCAAGUCAGAUGUGAAAUCCCCGGGCUUAACUCGGGUGGUGCAUUUGAAACUGGUUUACUUGAGUGCAGGAGAGGAAAGCGGAAUUCCUAGUGUAGCGGUGAAAUGCGUAGAUAUUAGGAGGAACACCAGUGGCGAAGGCGGCUUUCUGGACUGUAACUGACGCUGAGGCACGAAAGCGUGGGGAGCAAACAGG
rnacentral:rRNA from 2 species